UGGGUUGUAGCUCUGUGGUAGAGUGCUUGCCUAACAAGCGUGAGGCACUGGGUUCGAUCCUCAGCACCACAU
rnacentral:tRNA from 1 species